rfam:Salmo salar isolate Sally breed double haploid chromosome ssa28, whole genome shotgun sequence.
UAAUUGCACUUGUAAGUCACUCUGGAUAAGAGUGUCUGCUAAAUGACAAAAA